UUUGGACAUGUGCAAGUCUGCGGCACGAGCUUAUACGAGGGGAUUAUAACUGGGAGCAGCAGUUGAGAGGCAGAUGGCGCUGACUUGACCAAAGCUCGACGUCUCCAGCUUGCGAAAGCAACACCAUGUCAUGUGCACGUCAUCGUUAUAACACCUAGAGCCAAAGAAAAGAAAAGAAAAUUAUGAUAAAGAAAAGAAAAAUGUUAGUACAGGUACUAGUAGUACUCCCUCCGUCCAACAAUAGAAGACAUAUUAGGGUUCGGUUGACCAAGUUUUUGACCACAAAUUACUUCAUAAAUAUGUGACUAAUGUGAUCAAAAUCAUAACCAUAAACAAAUAUCCUUG
rnacentral:lncRNA from 1 species